rnacentral:misc_RNA from 1 species
GAUGAAGAACGCAGCGAAAUGCGAUACGUAAUGUGAAUUGCAGAAUUCAAUGAAUCAUCGAGUCUUUGAACGCACAUUGCGCCCCCUGGUAUUCCGGGGGGCAUGCCUGUCCGAGCGUCAUUGCUGCCCUCAAGCACGGCUUGUGUGUUGGGCCUCCGCCCCCCGGCUCCCGGGGGGCGGGCCCGAAAGGCAGCGGCGGCACCGCGUCCGGUCCUCGAGCGUAUGGGGCUUCGUCACCCGCUCCGUAGGCCCGGCCGGCGCCCGCCGGCGACCCCCCUCAAUCUUUCCAGGUUGACCUCGGAUCAGGUAGGGAUACCCGCUGAACUUAAGCAUAUCAAUAAGCGGAGGA